rnacentral:rRNA from 1 species
AAUGAACGCUGGCGGCGUGCCUAACACAUGCAAGUCGAGCGCGAAAGUGACUUCGGUCGCGAGUAGAGCGGCGAACGGGUGAGUAACACGUGGAUAACCUGCCUGGUAGUGGGGAACAACUCAGGGAAACUUGAGCUAAUACCGCAUAUGCUGGUUCCGUGAAAGCGGAUCUAGCAAAGGUGGCCUCUUCUUGAAAGCUAUCGCUACCAGAGGGAUCCGCGGCUGAUUAGCUAGUUGGUGAGGUAAUGGCUCACCAAGGCGACGAUCAGUAGCCGGCCUGAGAGGGCGAUCGGCCACACUGGAACUGAGACACGGUCCAG